UGACAGGUGGUGCAUGGUUGUCGUCAGCUCGUGUCGUGAGAUGUUGGGUUAAGUCCCGCAACGAGCACAACCCUCGACCUUAGUUGCCAGCAUUCAGUUGGGCACUCUAAGGUGACUGCCGGCUAAAAGUCGGAGGAAGGUGGGGAUGACGUCAAAUCAUCAUGCCCCUUAUGACCUGGGCUACACACGUGCUACAAUGGGCGGUACAAAGGGUCGCGAACCCGCGAGGGGGAGCCAAUCCCAAAAAGCCGCUCUCAGUUCGGAUUGCAGGCUGCAACUCGCCUGCAUGAAGCCGGAAUCGCUAGUAAUCGCGGAUCAGCAUGCCGCGGUCGAAUACGUUCCCGGGCCUU
rnacentral:rRNA from 1 species